GAUGACGCUGGCGGCAGGCCUAACACAUGCAAGUCGAGCGAGCGGCGGACGGGUGAGUAAUGUCUGGGAAACUGCCUGAUGGAGGGGGAUAACUACUGGAAACGGUAGCUAAUACCGCAUACCAUCAGAUGUGCCCAGAUGGGAUUAGCUAGUAGGUGAGGUAACGGCUCACCUAGGCGACGAUCCCUAGCUGGUCUGAGAGGAUGACCAGCAACACUGGGACUGAGACACGGUCCAGCUUCCUACGGGAGGCAGCGGUGGGGAAUAUUGCACAAUGGGCGCAAGCCUGAUGCAGCCAUGCCGCGUGUAUGAAGAAGGCCUUCGGGUGGUAAAGUACUUUCAGCGGGGAGGCGUUACCCGCAGAAGAAGCACCGGCUAACUCCGUGCAAGCCGCCGCGGUAAUU
rnacentral:rRNA from 1 species